GGGUUUUUUUUCAUAUUUUUUGCCCUUUGUGCCCCUUUUUUUGGACAUUUUUAGACCUUUCAUGUAAAUGAAACCAUCUAAGAAGUUUAAGAGGAAAUCACUCCUUUUAGGAACUGCUAACAUCUCAUAGACAUCUGAAACAUGACAAGGGAAGGGGGAUCAGGGGUCACUGUUUUAAUUUUAAGAAUGUACUGUAAUGUGUAACUUAAUUGCAUUUUUUGUCAUGUAAAAUCUUAAUUUCUGACUGGGCUUUUCUGUUCUGAGUUCAUGCUCUUUCUGGGUGGAUUUCCCCUGGGUGCUCCAGUUUCCCCACCAUCAUAUAUAUUAGGUUAACUCUCCUGUGCUUGUCCAGGCACUGGUUUAGAACUGGAGUUGGUCCCUGGACGCUGUGCAGUGGCUACCAACUGUUUCUCAGUGAUGGGUUACAUUCAAGGAACAAACUUCACUGUGUUGUACUGAGUAUGACUGUAUGUGACAAUAAACAAUUUCCUUUUACACAAUAUACGAUGAUUGAAAAUAAAGUAUUGCCAUUAUUGUGUUCAUCUCCUGUUUUUGUUUGUUCUUGAUGAUUAGAAUUCUUUGGUGCUGACUGAGCAGCUCAUUCCAGUAAGCGGUCCAGGUCAUCAAACAGAGACAAGGGUCAUUGUCAGUGAAUGUCAUCAGCACUGCAGAGAAUCUCCCACAGGAAACACAGUUCUACUGCCAGAACAGCCACAGAAAAAUACCUCUUGUUUUGUUUGCUGAAUCCGCUGUCCCGAGGAGAUGAAUGAGCAGUUUAUAUCUACAGAGGAGUCCUCCAUGUUGCAAUGCCAUGUUUCUACAGCAGCCCAGAAUGGGCAAACCAAAUCCUGGCUCACGACCACUAGUGACCACCGUAGGGAGAAGAAUUUUCCUCAAGUACAAGUGAAGAAGUUGACCUACUUUGAGCAACGAGAGAAGGUUCCACAGACUAGAUUUUUUUUCAAAGGAGGGGGGGAAUAACAACUAUUAUAAUUAUAAUAAUAAUUACACUUGCAUGUGUUUUUGCAUCAAGCACUGUGUUGCCUUGAAGGCAGUUUCUUUAAGUUUCACUUUCACUUUCCUCCUUAAUUUGUUAACAAUUUAAUUUAGUUUCUGGUUGAAUUAAAAAAGAAGUGAAUUCUUAUUGUACUGUUUAAUGUUUAAGAUGUAAUGCAUCUUAGUGUUUUAUUCUGUAGCAUGGUGACAGUACAUCCUGUUGGGUCAUUUCCUGUCAGUUUUGUCUGUUUACCUGCUCCUGCUGGAGAAACAUGUGCUGCGUGCUCCUGGAGCAAUCCACUGCAAUCCACUGUUAAAUAUCAUAGAGACAGUGCCGUAAGUUGAUUUAGAUGACUUUGGAUAUGUUAAAAAGUAUAUAUUAGAAGUUAUCUUGCUAAAAAUUAGAUUUAAUGAGUUAGUUAAAAGCAAGUUUGUUUACACUUAUGUACGAUGCAAAUAAGAAACACAGAUACUUAAUAUUUUGUAUUGUUUUAUUGCAGUUUUCACCAGUUGUCAUUGAAGAAGUGUGACAGUAAAUGGCCAACCUUACUACGACUCUGUCUUCAUUGGCAUCGGUUUAACUUGGUGUUUAGUCAGAGUUUCCCCUACACCCUGCAUGAGAACACUAACCUAACCCAAGCACAUACAUUACAUCUGUAAUUGGAAUCUGGUACAAUGUAAUGUACAACAUAUUGCGACCAUCUCGUGUACUGAGUGUAUCUCUGUAUAUGUGUAGUAUUUCUCCUUUAAAUAUAACAAAAUAAAAAUGUGAAAUUGCAUUAAUGUAAAAUAUCAAAAUUAAGUCAGAGUACCUCAAAACUGCACUAAGGUACAAUAGCUGAGUAAAUGUAUUUUAUUAUUUUCCAUCUCAGAGUUUAGGAUUAGGUUUCGGGUUUCGUAUAAUAAAAUAAUCUCUAUGUGUGCCUGAAAGCUUUUAUUACGGGUUUUAAUAAGAAAAUAAUCCCGCCUUCCUGUGACUGAGGGCUGAAUGAAGUUCCUGACAGUCUUGCCUUGCAGUUGGGACAGGGAGAGGUCAGGCUUUCUGUGUCUUUCAGGACUUACGGGAACAAGACAGAGAGAGUCAACCAGCUCCAGUUGGUGAGGCAUUAUGAAGUCUCGGGUCAAUAAUGUCUGUUACAGAUGAGUAAAGCACAGAUUUGAACAACAUUUUGCAUCACAGGCUCUGUAAUGUGAUGAAAACAAAUGACACACUUGUUGAAUCAGUCACACAUCAUGGUUUUUCAAGGAGACACAAAGGAGUUAUCAGUAUGUCUUUUCCUUCUAAGCUAAACAUAGACAGUCUGAAAUGUCUCUGGUUGCUAUUUCACUGUGUCCUAUUUUUGUGAUGACUCAGUGCUGAAUAAAGGCAGUCAAAUGAAGUCUCAUGGGCAGUGGGGGUGGGGUGGUGUGGUGUUGUGACUCACUGACAGUCAAUGCAAAUACCCAAAUCUGCAUUGACUCUAAAGACAGUUUGCAUGAUUAGUCAUUCCACAUGUGCAUGGAAAAUUGUGGUCAACAAACAAUGCUAGUAUGGACAAUAAGACAGUUCACUGGAGACACAACUAACCUAAAUGUAUACUUGUAUGAAAAGGAAUAGCUUGACCUUUUGAGAAAUAGAUCUGUUCACUUUUUUACCAAAUGAGAAUACAAAAACCACCCUCACGUCUGUCUAUAGCCAGCAGUUAGAUAGAUUAGCUUGGCAUAAAGGCUAGAAACAUGACCUCCUGAAAAUGUUUGCAUUGUCUUUAACAUGCAACCAACAGAGACUCAAGGGAUACACUGUAAUGCACACAUAACCUCCUUGUAAAACUAUAACUUGUUUUAAACACUUAAGUUUUAACACAGUUUUCUGUAUGUCACUACGAGAGGCCACUUUCACAUUGUUUCCACACUGUCAUUUGACAGUUAAUAUCAUUAAUUACAUUAAUAUGAAAAUACUGUUAAUAACCUCUUUAUCGUCUUAGUAGUGACAGCCAUCAUCGCAAAUGAGACAAAAAUACAUUCUAUCUUUAGUUUUCGUUUAGUUAUCAUCUGUCAGACACUCUGAAUCUCCAAAUGAAUUAAGACUUAAGAAGAAGAAAGUUGCUUUCAGAAGAAAUCCUGCUUUCCAGUUGAAAUACUUGGAAUUCUGAGAACUCCUUUGGCUGCUUGUAGGAUGUUCGUGAAAAAACAAGCUGACACACAGAGUUUGGCGUGCCAUGUGGUUCUCAGAAUUAGAAAGGAAAUAAAUGCUGGCGUCAUUCUCAGAAACUACCUAUGGUCUCUGAAACACUGUUAUCUCUGCACAGGAACUGUAGGUUGUCUAAGUACCUGCAGAAGAAAUUGUCAGUGUCAGAUCAAAAGAAUUAUUUAACUCUGACACCACAGUUUACAUUCACACUGGAGAUGAUAUCUUAUUUUGGGUGCUGAUUUCCUUUGACUUCUAUUAAUACCUGAUAUAAUAAUACAUACAGUGAGUUGUACGGAGCCACCGUCACUGCUAUGUUCCUAACUUGAAACAUGGAUGUCUUAAAACCUUUGAAGGAUUAAGCAUUAUGUCAAACAGACAGGCAGAAGACUUGCAGGAGCUGAUAAGGGAACAGAUAUCAGGGGUAGGCUGAGGAUUAGAUGGCGAAGGAGCAUGACCUCCAGAGGCUGGCUCUGAGCACCAGUGGAGAUGUACCCUUGGGAUGAUUUUGACUUAAACCCUUUAUCGCAAAUGAGUGAUGUGUGUAAGCAUUUAUUACCUACACGAUAGCUGCAAACUGUGCAAUUUCUGCAGUAGCAAUUAGAAACAUUUGCUCUUUAUCUUUUUUGUUUUUCAUGAUUACAAGUGCAAGAGAAAGAUCAUAAUUGUUGAAAUUACUGUAGCAAGAGAAACCAUACCUGGUCUUUUGUGUUCUAACAAGACUUAGAGUCCAGCAACUGAGGCUCUAUUCAUGCAUAGAUGCAUUCUCAAAAUGUGCGAGCAUGCUGACAUGUAACAGGAAAUGGUUGGUUCAAUAACCAUCUUAGAGAAGUAUGUUAGCAUGGCAACAAUUUGCUAGUCGGCACCAACUGAAAGCACGAUCGAGGCAGAUGGGAAAUUUUGCAUGUGUCUGGUCAUAAACCAAAAUAUUUGAGAAAUUAAAAUUUUGAGCUGAUGAUGGCGCUAGAUAUAAAAGAGAGUUCACUAGAGAAUUCAUCCUGAAGAGAAAAAUUAAUGUGUGAACCAAACAGUUUGAGACAUUCAUUCAUAACUACAAAUGUUACCCUCAUGGUGGCGCUAGAGGAAAAGUCAGGGGGGUCCUAGAAAUCUCAGAUGAUUCGUCUUCUGGAAACCAUGAAUGUCACACACAAAAUGCCACAGCAAUUCAUCCAAUAGUUGAAAUAUUUCAGUUUGGGUCUAAUUUGUGGACCAGCUGACACUGCCAUCACUAGAACCACAUUGUUAGCUAAAAAGUACCCUUAAACCUGCAACAAAUUAUAUUUCAGUCACUUCAGGGUGCCAGAAACAAGCUGUAAACACAACACUGACAUGUUAUCACCUUUAAAGUUGAUGUGAUAAACAGUUAUUUAUCCUUCCAGCAGACACUGAGCAACGCUAGCAUUUAUUUUGAGUCUUUUUGUCCUCUCAACAAAUUUAAGUCUAGUAUUUGCUCUUCUUUUUGCACUGUCUGAACCAGUCCUUCAGAGAACAAGCUGGCUUGGAUAUGCUCUAAAUGCUCCACUGUGUUCACAGGCUGAUAGCUAACACCAUGCAAGCUGUGAGCAUGAACCAGAACAGUGAAGCUGAAAGAUCCUAGAAAGCUCAGUGAAGCUGAUGUGAGCUGCAGACACUUUUAAGAGAUGGCACAGUGGAAACAUUCUGGCUUCUUCUGUCUCCAUCUUUUCAUUCAAAUCACAGCUGGUGAACACCAUUAUAUUCACCCGACAGGCACUAACUGCGGCUGAUGGUCUGACCUCAGUGUAAUUUGUUGUCGUGCAAAUCUUGGUUUUGUUCUAGGUGGGGUCCUGGCAGCACUGUCUGGAGGAAGCUUGCCAGCGAGACCAUGAGUCCUAUGGGAGCAACACAACUGAUUAAACCUACAACUCUUAUCUGUCCAAGAGAGCAGAUCCAUGAUAGGCUGCUGCUAGCUUGUCACUAUCAAUGUCUACAUUAACCCACAAGAGCAUCUUCUUCUUAGCUGGAUUAAACCCAUAACAGAUGCUAUGAGGAAUAGUGGUGAAAGAAGUUCUCAAAUUCUUUACUGAAGUAAAAAUAUAACCAUUAACCAUGUGAAAAUACUUCAUAGUUACUUCUUACACACAAACAAGCAAAAACCCUGCAUAUUACAUUUUAAUUUACUUGUAUGUAUUCUCAGAAAAAUAUACUAAUUAUCAAAAGCAAAAGUACUUUCUAUGCAUUAUAUUAUUAGGUUGUUAUUACUGAUGCAUAAAUAUAUAAGCAAGAUUUUAAUGUUGUAGUUUGACAACAUACAGCCAUACUAACUACAUUAUACUUACUAUGGUCUCUGGGUUUUGGAUGUGUAAUGAGGAAAGUGGGAACUUGGUGGUCUUUUGUAUGAAUCACCUAUCAGUAAUGAACUUAGUAGUUUGACAUUCUUAAAUAUUUCAGUUUUGAGUAGAAACUCACUGCCGGGGAUGUUUUUUCCGCCUCCGUAUAUAGAGAAGAGAUGAGAAGAUAACACUCCAAAUACACAGCUUUUCUAAAAAGGUGCCAAACAGGAAACCUGCUUCUUCUGAGAUGGUAAAUGUUAAAACACUGCAUGUACCACUGUUUUUUAAAAUGUCUUACACAUCAGUUCUGUCCUCAUCAGCACACCUGUUGUUUAUCUAUGACUUCUGGUGUCACCCUGAUGUGAAGUGUGCUGCAACAACAGCACUUUUAUAACAUGACUAUGAGCUCCACAAGGUCAUAACAACCCACCAUGUUAACUAAAGCAACACAGAACAGUCAAGAGUCAUAGUUAAAAAAAUAUUUAUUGAAAUCGUAUAAAAAUAGUUUCUAACAUAAUUUACAAUUCUAAUUUGAAUGGAUGAAAAAAAAAAAAAACAAUCCAAGCUGAAAACAUGAAACCAGAAGUUUUCCCACAUCUCCCCCGUUUUCUCUCUCUCUCUCACACACACACAAACACACCACACAUGUCCACAAAUA